AGAGCCAUUCAGCAGAUGCAAGGAGUCACGUAGACGGCAGUGCCUGUAGAUUGAGGAAUUAAGAAUGAUUGGUUUAGGGGGAUGUGAGUGCGCUCGUGGCUGACGCAUGAGCAGCACCAGGAGCCAAGAGAGAAACGCAUGAUCACCGCUAGAGAACAAUAGAGUCCUGUAUGGUUACAUAAGAGUGCCACGAGGACGCUGCGUGCGCGGCAUUGUGAUUGGGCGAGGGGGGGGGUGAACGCGCGUGCAUAAAUAUCGCUGUGUGCUUGGUUUGCGGGCGGCCGCCAUUAUUAAAAAGAAGCUUGCCACUCACCUUGUCUGCGGGUCGUUCUUGCGGGCCGAGAGCGACAACUGGUGCCGAAACCCGGGAUCCCUACCUUUAGACGCAGAACGAGGAUCGAGGUGAACCUCGACAACCUGCCGGUGCUACUUCGACAUAAACGAGACUUUGGAAUAACAGCAGCCAUUAUUGCAGCUAUUGCAGCAUCCGUCGCCGCUGCUACUGCUGCUGCAGUGGCGUUGACAACCUUGAUACAGACUGCAGCAACACUCAACAAUGUCACCGGGAGGGUAGCUGAAGCCCUUGCAACACAAAAUCAGAUUAAUGGACUGUUAGGUGUAUACAAAACCCACGCGGACAUUGUCCUUGUUUUCUCACUUCCCUUCCCUGACGCACGCAUGGUAUGUUGUAGGAACAAUUAUAGGAGUGCUAGUAGUAAUUGUUCUUUUCAUGUGCCUCUUGCCUUGUGCGGUUAAAAUUAUACUCGCAGUUUAUAAGUUAAGAGCCAUCAUACGUAACCAUCAGCUAAUCAACCGCGGUGGGCUCAGAAUGUCACCUUGAACGCUACCCAGGUAUCUCUUGGCUCCGUCAGCGAUUUGGUUAGUAUGUUAUAACAAUCAGCCUCAUUCCUCAAAAACUGGGCAGGCAUAGGAGCCCUGAUUAUGUUGAUGAUUCUGGCUCAAGUGCUCCUUCUACAAUGCAUCGCGCGACAACAACGGCUACAGCAACGGGCUUUGGUCUAAGCCAUGAUGGCUCUGGAGGCUGGCACCUUCCCCCCCAAAUAUGGCUUAGCAUGCUGGAUCGGUAGCCAAAGACGGGUAAGACCGAUCCCUCACCAUAGCAACCUAAGACAGGGGCUCCUCGGCCAGGGGGAGUACCCGAUGACGGGUAAGCAUGUGUGCUGAGGAUUGGCAACCUAAGACAGGCACGAUCCCUGCCAUAUAAACAAUAAAAAAGGGG